rnacentral:rRNA from 1 species
CCUACGGGUGGCUGCAGUGAGGAAUAUUGGUCAAUGGGCGGGAGCCUGAACCAGCCAAGUCGCGUGAGGGAAGACGGUACUGAGUAUUGUAAACCUCUUUUGUCAGGGGACAAAGCCGGCCACGGGUGGCCGUAAGCGGGUACCUGGAGAAAAAGCAUCGGCUAACUCCGUGCCAGCAGCCGCGGUAAUACGGAGGAUGCGAGCGUUAUCCGGAUUUAUUGGGUUUAAAGGGUGCGCAGGCGGCGUGUAAAGUCAGCGGUAAAAUGUCGGGGCUCAACCCCGGCCGGCCGUUGAAACUGGCGGGCUCGAGUUGGGGAGAAGUAUGCGGAAUUCGUGGUGUAGCGGUGAAAUGCAUAGAUAUCGCGAAGAACCCCGAUUGCGAAGGCAGCUUACCGGCGCCACACUGACGCUGAGGCACGAAAGCGAGGGUAUCGAACAGGAUUAGAUACCCGAGUAGUC